UACGAAGGGGGGCUAGCGUUGCUCGGAAUUACUGGGCGUAAAGGGCGCGUAGGCGGCCACCGCAAGUCGGUUGUGAAAUCUCCGGGCUUAACCCGGAAAGGUCAAUCGAUACUGCGGGGCUAGAGUGCAGAAGGGGCAACUGGAAUUCUCGGUGUAGCGGUGAAAUGCGUAGAUAUCGAGAGGAACACCUGCGGCGAAGGCGGGUUGCUGGGCUGACACUGACGCUGAAGCGCGAAAGCUAGGGGAGCGAACGGG
rnacentral:rRNA from 1 species